GGGGUGUGGAGUGGCUCCUCAAAUCAGCCUGGUGGGUCCAAAGGGCCUGGGCUUGGAUGCCAGAUGGAAGUGGGUUUGAACCCUGGAUCAGCUGCUUCGAGCUGGCCUCCUGCACCCACAGGCCCUGAGGCUGCAGUGCUCACAGGCAGAGAAGGAGACUGAGUCGAGCCCAGGCUGAGCCCUGCCCAGCUGCACUCCGCAGACACCCACCCAGCCCAAGGGAUCUUAUGACCAUGAUCUGGCUACCUUGAGCCUGUGGGGCUACCCAGCCUUCAGCCUGCAUCUCCAGGGCUCUGACUAUCCAGAUCCUGGACCAGCUCCCAAGCCUACUCCUGACCCCGACCUGGGCCGAAGGGACUCCGCAAGCUUUGGGACCCAGCGGGACACAGCAGCAGUCACGGUAGGUGGCAUCCCCACUGUACCUGUUCCCUGGCUCCUGGGGAUAUCCAAGCCUUCUUGGUCUUCAGAACAAAAUGGAAAUCUUUCUGUACGCUGUAUCUGUCAGGGUCCCUUUGAUUGUAAGUAGCAAAGAACAAAAACGAAAACAAACCCUACUUCAUUAAAAUGAAGUUAUCAGCUCAUGUAACCAACGUGUUUGGUGGUAAUAUGGGCUUCAGGGAGGGCUUGAUCCAGUGGUUCAGUCAGUGCAAGCAGGAGCUUGGUUUUGUCUGUAUCCCUUCAUUC
rnacentral:lncRNA from 13 species